ensembl:lncRNA
AGCUGCCCAGACAGGGGCGGGUGGAUGAAGCAGAAAAAUAACUGGUUGGUGAUGUUAUUUUAAGGCAGAGCUGAUACCAACAAGGGGCUUUAGAGAACACAUAUCUGUGAGGAUGAAGACUUUGAGUGCUGCUCUUGUUUUGCUGAGUCUCAUCUCAGUGGGCCAGCCUGCAUCGCUGGCCUGUGAGAAGCUGUUAAAGCCAGUCGACCAACGUCCAGAUCUGAUUGGGAGGUGGCACUUUAUAGCUGUGUCCACAGAGUUUUGCCUGUCUUCAACAUUAGUCAGUGCUUUAUUUUCCCCAAGUGCCGCAGUGGAUGUAAUUUCUAAGGGCGAACCAAACCUCUAUGGUGAUACUACUUAUUUGAAAGCGAAUGGAGUUUGUAUCAAUGGAACCUCAAGAUUUCUCUAUGCAAACAGCAGCAUAUUUGAACUCGACAGUGAAAAUGCCACAGUUGAUCAACCAGACGUGCUGCUGCACACUGGCUGUCCUGACUGCCUCGUCUCUAAAGAGGAUAAAAGUCAUCUUUUGCUCUUCAGUAGACGAACAGCUGUUUCUGCUGCUGAGCUGACGGAGUUUGAGACACAGGCAGAGUGUCUGGGAUGGUCUAAACCCCAACUCCUCAACACUGAUCAUGAUUAUGAAAAGUGUGUGCAAUUUGACGAAGAUAUGGAUGAGGAUAAAUUAAGCGAAGUGCUUCUGAGUUUCUUUCAGAAGACGCUUGAAAGGAUGAAAACCACAUAUCACUUGUUAACCAAAUGCAUGGCAGAGGGUUUUAUUUCAUAUUACCCCUCAUUGUUUUAAGAACUAAAUGUCCAGUGCAUGCUGAACUUUAUUUUCAUAUCUAAAUAUGACUUUUAAUCUAUAUAUGAAUGCCUCUUUUAAUUACUGAAUUGAGCUUUUUUUUCUUCAUUUAGAAGAAAAAGUUUUUUAAAUAAAAGUCUGUACGUCCAUGUAUGUUAAAAAUUUCUUUGCAAUUUAUGUGUGAGGCUCCAUAUAGACAUCAGUGUUUCGAACCAUGUAAUACAAAUAACAAACAACUAAAUAUCAAUGAUAGGAUAAUAGUGCAAACCAGGUAUUAUGUUUACCAUGAUAAUUUGUGGUGUAACUGUUAAAAAACAAUCACAGAUUGGUUUGUAACCUAUUUUGGAACCACAUUUGAUGCAUUUAUUUUAGGUUCUAAAUUUCUUUUCUUAGUUUUGUCUUAUUUUAAGUUUCAUAUAGCCAGAAAUUGGUGCUUUUAGCUCUUAAAAGACUCCUUGGCUCCAACAUUUGAACAGAAAUGAUGGCUUAUUGUAACUGUUGUUGUAAAAUCAAAAGUAAAAGGAUAAAAACAGAUAUUAUUGUUUUUAUAUUUUCCACAAAUUCUUAACAGUAAGUUGCUUUUCUUUGCUUUUACAUUUCAAUAAAUAUUUCUCAAAUCCUUAUGAG